rnacentral:lncRNA from 1 species
GUUUUGUUUUUUUUCUCCCCAAUUAUUUUGUUUUGGUUUUUUGAAGCAGGUGUUUAAGGUUUAACCUUCUUCAGGGACAAAUUCUGACUGUUGGGGAAUCUUACUCUGCAAUAGAAAAUAUCUUCGUGUUCUGGUAGGGCCUGGAUGGUGGAGCUCUGUACUGCCUUGUCUGCACUUCAGCCCCCGACCCCCUGAUUCUCUGUUGAAAAGUGUGUCCUUUCUCUUUGUCUGUACAUGUUUACCAUGACGCAAUAAUUUGAGGGCAAACUUAGUAGUGAGUGUGUAUGAUAGAAUCGAGAAUUUCUAGGACGCUGACUUGAGAAAACCAUUACCAGGAUUUGGUUCUAGAAAGAAGGCAGUGAAUAAUUAUGCAAAUUCGCCAGAAGGGGAAGCACGCUAAUGGGCCUUAUUGGAUGAGGGUGUGAGUUAGGGUACGCGUGAAGGAGAAAGUGACAUGGGUGUUGGAAGGACCAGCCCCAGACGGUUUUCCUGUGAUGCCAUCUCACAGUGGGAAGGAGGGGCCGGCCACCUGUACCGUGCACACCAACCAGCCUGGAAUGAAGCCCGCCUAGAUUGUGAGGGCUGAAUUUAGACAACCGGAUGAUGUCACGCAGACCAGAAACUCCUGUUAUCUUUGCCUAAAAGAAAUUACCUUGGGAGAUGCAACGAGAAAUCUCUGAAAUCUUCCACCCACGUGGAGGGGAAUUUCAAAACAUAAACAGGAACACCCACUAUCGUGGCUCAGGGGGAGGGAGGGAGGGCCCGGGGAGACGGUGAUCUUUAAAAAUGGGACCGUCGUGGGCCACUGCAGAGCCCAUCGGCCAGCAGCAGGCGCAGUCAGGAGCUCCAUCAGCCAGGACAGAGGGAAGCAUCUGGCGCGUACCCCGCGACUUGCUUCCUCUGGGUUGCCGAAAAGAGAACCUGGGGAAAGAAAAGUCUACAUCCCUGUGACAGGUCGAGUUCAGUGCCUGAACCGGAAUACUUCCAGCAUAUUUGUUCCGGGUGUAGAUGGGGGAGAGGAUGUGUUAUUCCCUCCAUCUCCCCAAAUAUCUGAUGCCCCAAAAGCCGUGUUAGCCGUGGAGCCUGAGCGACACUUGGAUUCGUGUUGUCACCUGACCGAACCCAGGAGACACUUGAUCGGGUUUCAGCUCGGCUGCAAGGAAGCUUGGGAUUUCAUUACUGCAACUUCCCUCAGCCGAGAGUUCUUGGUAAGCGUUUUCCCCUUUCCCUUUUCUGCAUUUUGUUCUUUUCUUUUGCUUCAUGAAUCUUUGUUGCUUUUGUGUGACCAUAGUUACCUCAAAUGUCUUUUGGAAGAAAGCAGGAUAGGAAACAACAAAAUUGAAGAAAAGAUAAAAUAUGCAAAGCAAUGAAGUUUUGGGACAUGGGAGAGAGGAGUGAUUUUACCAGCAGCCUAGUCUUAAAAAAACAAAAAUAAAGGGGCGCCUGGGUGGCUCA